GACGAACGCUGGCGGCGUGCUUAACACAUGCAAGUCGAACGGAAAGGCCCUGCUUUUGUGGGGUGCUCGAGUGGCGAACGGGUGAGUAACACGUGAGUAACCUGCCCUUGACUUUGGGAUAACUUCAGGAAACUGGGGCUAAUACCGGAUAGGAGCUCCUGCUGCAUGGUGGGGGUUGGAAAGUUUCGGCGGCUGUGGAUGGACUCGCGGCUUAUCAGCUUGUUGGUGGGGGAGUUGCUUACCCAGGCUUUGACGGGUAGCCGGCCUGAGAGGGUGAACAGCCACAUUGGGACUGAGAUACGGCCCAGACUCCUACGGUAGGCAGCAGGGGGGAAUAUUGCACAAUGGGCGGAAGCCUGAUGAAGCAACGCCGCGUGCGGGAUGACGGCCUUCGGGUUGUAAACCGCUUUCGCCUGUGACGAAGCGUGAGUGACGGUAAUGGGUAAAGAAGCACCGGCUAACUACGUG
rnacentral:rRNA from 1 species